AGAGGCCACUUUCCUUGUUCCUUCGUGCCCCUCGAGCCCCACGCACCUUCUCUCUCGAGCACGCAACCUCUUCUUCCCUCUCCAAAGAUCUCUCUCCUUUGACUGGAUCGGCUCGCUCGCUCGACCGCCGGGACCAUGUCGCUGCCGACGCCGACGGCCGCCAGCGAGGACAGGUUGGAUCUGGACGGCGUGCUCGUAGCGCCUCUCACCAUCUGCAGAGCGGGGCGGUGGAUUCAUCUGCUCCCACCUCUUCGAGCACCUCAUGGCCGAGACCCCGGACUCCGUCCUCGCCGUCGACAUCUACUGCUACAAGAUCCGCCGCCUCGUCGACCCACCCCCGCCCCACCUCGCCCGCUGCAGCAACUUCCACCUCCUCAACGUCAAGAACAACUCCGGCCUGGAGGGCCUCAUCAAGAUGGUCGAUCUGGUGCGCCCCUCCCCACCUCCCCUCCUUCCCCGCUCGCUUUUGUCCUCUAAUGGUGGAUUGGUCUGCGAAAAAGGAAUGCUAGGGUUGAUUUUUCCGUCUUUGUUUCUGUAAAAAAGAGGAAGUGGGAUCGACGCUCUUAUCCUCUAAUGGUGGAUUGGUCUGUGAAAAAGGAAUGCUAGGCCCGAUUUUUCCGUCUUUUUUUCUGUAAAAGAGAGGAAGUGGGAUCAACCUGCAGAGGAUUUGGUCGCCGCGGCUGCGGCGGCGAGACUGCCCAUCUUUCAAUUCUGUGGCACUACUGCAUAUCCUGCCGCGGCCGCUCGUUCCACCGGUGCUUCAGAGUGCUGCUGCUGCUGCUGCAAUUCAGAAACUAAGUCAGGUCUGUGCUCCAUGAUACAGUCCCUACCCCCCAUAUGAGCAAGCUAGCCUAUGUAUUAUUGGGACUAAGUAUUCAUAUUUACUAUCUCUGUGUUGUUGCCUCAGGCAAAACUAGUGGCUGAGCUUAUAGCACUAGAAAUUUAAACAUAUAAGGCUGCUAGCCAACUUGCCUCCACGGUGCUCCCCCAAUUGGGCCUUUGUUGGCCGUUGGAUCUGGUCAUUUAGAGCGUUUGAGCCGUUGGAUGUUUACCUGCUGUCAAACCCAAUUUCACCUCGUGGUCAUUUUUGCCGUCCAAUGACUGGUGGGCUCGCGCUAUGCGUUUAUUGGCUGGGUCGAUCGUUCUCGCGUGGAAGAGGCUUUUGCCCAAUCCCCGCGCGUGCUCCGCUUCCAAUCCUCCUCGCGGGGUUGCUGCGCCAGAGCCCACACCCGCCCCAACCCUAGCCGCCACACCUCUCCUUCCUCCCUCGCUUGACACCAUAGGCGUUGCACCCCCUCCCCUCCUUCCUGCUCGGGCGGAUAGCCGCCGGCCGCCGCAUCCCUUCUCCCCCUUCCUCCUCCUUCCUCCUUCCCGCUGCCGCCCAUCGCCCUCGUCCUCGGACAAGGGGCCUUCCACAGGGAUGGCCACGUCUUCAAACCAGGGGUAGAGGAGCACGGGAGGGCCAAGAAGCCGGCAUUGGGGGUGGAGCAGCCAGGCCAAGGAGGACCCAGGUGGUGGACGCGUCAUGGGGUUAAGGACAGGCCGAUGAUAUGAAUAAGUAGGAGGAGUGCCAUGGAUCUGCAGGGAAAGGAGGGCGACGCCCUCGGCGGGCGUCCGAGCAGGAAGCCGGCAGGGAGCACGUCAUCGUAGGCGUCAAGGGAGCCAUGGACAAGCCGCCAGGAGGAGAAAGCUCCCAGUUUGUGGAGGAGACUAUGUGACAGUUUUUCAGGUGGUGUUUUGGAAUCUAGAUUGAUUUGGUAUUGUAUGUUGUGUGAUGUGCCCUUGCCAAGAAUAUUUGAUGUGUGUGAUGACACGAGCAAUUGUAGAGGAGUGAACACCAUGCUCGAUUAGUGGACUGCCGCUUGAGAAGAAGCUUGUCAUUUGUCUCUUCGAGCCGCGGCGGAUAGGGGCCUUCGAAGAACUUGGGGUUUGACAUAGCCAUCGAGGAAGUGCAGGAUACAAACCAAGUGUAAUCAAAGAGGAUAUGGAUUCAGUACGGACAUGAGUGAAGGAAUGUUACUCCAAUUUGGAUCUUGGAGAAUGUUUUCUCAGUGUGGUUCAGGUUAAAUUGUUGUCCUACUGUUCCUGCUCAACCUCCUAAUGUUCUAUGUCUUCGCCGUGCCUUCUUCCAGCUUCUCUAUUGGUUUUCUCUUCACACCGAUGUCUCUGCGCCAUUUGGCGCAACGGGUCCACUAGUUGUUAUAAAUGAUGCUGAUCAAUCUGUACGGCAUAAGCUCACAAAACGGCAAACACAAAACGAGCCAGCAUAUGAAAAAAUGUACUAAAAACAUUUGAGGCGGUCGAUCCCAACAGCGGAAGAGCAACUAUGCUCGAGAUAGCAGGGAGGCUGUCCAAGCUAGAAAAUAAAGGAUGGAGGCCAAGGCGAACAAUCAUCUCUGCAGUUGGGAUGCAGAAGAGUUUGCGCUGGGUCUACGGAAUGGACCGAGGAGGACAUGGAUAUGCUUGCUUCAAGAGGUGUUGCUUAUCUGAAUGUAGACAUGUCAAUGUUUGGGCCUGGAAGUCUUAUGCCCCCUGCAACACCACAACUCGAUGAAUUAAUCAAUGAAGCAAGCAGAAUGGUAGCCGAUCCUGAUGAUCCGUAUCAUACCUUGUAUGACUACAUGGCACAAAUGAGCGAUCAUGAGAGCUUCAUUUGAUUGAAACAUACUGAAGUAUUAAGCUCCUAUUUUCAUACUGCAAGAGUGGCCGGUGCAGGAACAGAUUUUGCAGCUUUUGUCGAGCACAUUGGAGUCCCUUCACUUGACAUCUCUUAUGGAUUAUUUUCAGAAUACCCUGUCUACCACUCACUGUACGAUGAUUUUGAUUGGAUGGAGCAGUUUGGAGACCCUUUGUUCCACAGACAUGUAAUGAUGAGAACAUUCCCUUCAAUUAUGUCCUCUACGUGUCUGAACUGGAGGUAUUUUCUCUUCUGGCAACUGAGAUAGACACACAGGGUAAUCCCCUAAUUCAGUUUCAUCAAGGAAACUGAAACAGAAUCAUGAAUUCAUGAUAGACUCGCUUCUUAUUGAUCGGUACACACAAUUUUUUUCAUGAAAUUAUCAUUAAGUGUGGCAUGUAGAAGUAGCUCCAACAAUUACUUGAAACAUGGACUAUCUGCUGUCCUCAUGACAACAGAUGUUGCAAGCACAAAAGAAGGGCCAUAACACGAGGGUAAGCAUGCUGAAAGUCAAAGAGAUCAAUGACCGAUGGACGAUGGCGGAGCGAGCCUUCACCAACCAAGAGUGGCUCGGAGGGAGACCGUGGUCCAAACAUAUGAUGAGCAUCAAAGCUGCAGGCUUGUUACAUAGUACUGUAGUUGUCUGAACUCCGAAGUUAUUCUGAAACUAACCACAGUAAUGGUUUUUCUCCUUCGGCAGAUUUAUGCCUCGUCGGACCAGGACGACUGGUGGGUACCAAAGCCUUCCCCGGCAUCGUCUCGGCCAUCGUGAACGCGCAGGAGCUCAACACGUUGGAAUCUUGGCGGCUGUUGCGGCAUGAGAUUUACAUGGGUGCAAGGACCUUAUCUGUUAUGAAAUGGCAUAUUGUUAUUCGUAUGUGUAUUAUUGACUUGCCAAAUUCUUGACCGCCUAUGGUAUGAUCAGAUCAAUAUAAAGAGUGUGGCUUCUAUUCUUUUAACAUA